rnacentral:tRNA from 1 species
AAAACCUUAAGUUAAGAAAACUAUUAACCUUCAAAGUUAAAUAUACAUAAUUUAUGUAGGUUUUA